rnacentral:rRNA from 1 species
GAGUUUGAUCGUGGCUCAGGAUGAACGCUGGCGGCGUGCCUAAUACAUGCAAGUCGAGCGAACAGACGGGGAGCUUGCUCCCCUGACGUUAGCGGCGGACGGGUGAGUAACACGUGGGUAACCUACCUAUAAGACUGGAAUAACUCCGGGAAACCGGGGCUAAUGCCGGAUAACAUGUUGGACCGCAUGGUCCUACAGUGAAAGACGGUCUUGCUGUCACUUAUAGGUGGACCCGCGCCGUAUUAGCUAGUUGGUAAGGUAACGGCUUACCAAGGCAACGAUACGUAGCCGACCUGAGAGGGUGAUCGGCCACACUGGAACUGAGACACGGUCCAGACUCCUACGGGAGGCAGCAGUAGGGAAUCUUCCGCAAUGGGCGAAAGCCUGACGGAGCAACGCCGCGUGAGUGAUGAAGGCCUUCGGGUCGUAAAACGUACUGUUAUUAGGGUAAGAACGAAAUAGUGUAAGUAACUAAUGCACGUCUUGACGGUACCUAAUCAGAAAGACCACGGCUAACUACGUAGCCAGCCGCCGCCGUAAC